rnacentral:rRNA from 1 species
GCGCCAAGGGGGGCGGCUAUAAUGCAGUCGAGCGGAGAAAUUAGCAAUAGUUUCUUAGCGGCGAACGGGUGAGUAACGCGUUGGUGACCUGCCUCGAAGAUUGGGAUAACAGUUCGAAAGGACUGCUAAUACCGGAUGUGAUCAUAGAGACUAGAGGCUUAAUGAUUAAAGGAGAAAUUCGCUUCGAGAGGGGCCUGCGUCCCAUCAGCUAGUUGGUAAGGUAAAGGCUUACCAAGGCGAUGACGGGUAGGGGACCUGAGAGGGUGGCCCCCCACAAUGGAACUGAAACACGGUCCAUACACCUACGGGUGGCAGCAGUAGGGAAUAUUGCAUAAUGGGCGAAAGCCUGAUGCAGCAACGCCGCGUGUGCGAUGAAGGCCUUCGGGUCGUAAAGCACUUUUGAAGGGGAUGAGGAAGGAUAGUACCCUUCGAAUAAGCUUCGGCUAACUACGUGCCAGCAGCCGCGGUAAAACGUAGGAAGCGAGCGUUAUCCGGAUUUACUGGGCGUAAAGCGCGUGUAGGCGGUCUCAUAAGUUGGAUGUGAAAGCUCCUGGCUUAACUGGGAGAGGUCGUUCAAUACUGUGAGACUAGAGGAUGGGAGAGGGAAGUGGAAUUCCGGGUGUAGUGGUGAAAUGCGUAGAUAUCCGGAGGAACACCAGUGGCGAAAGCGGCUUCCUGGCCCAUAACUGACGCUCAGACGCGAAAGCUAGGGGAGCGAACGGGAUUAGAGACCCCGGUAGUCCUAGCUGUAAACGAUGUGGACUUGGCGUUGGCGGGUUUAAAUCCGUCAGUGCCGAAGCAAACGCGAUAAGUCCACCGCCUGGGGACUACGGCCGCAAGGUUAAAACUCAAAGGAAUUGACGG